rnacentral:lncRNA from 1 species
CUAAGAAUAUUGGUUUUGCUCUAUUUUCUUAAUUAUCGAAGAUCAUUUUCUUAUUCCUGCCACUUGUUGACUAGUGAUUCUCCUAUUCUCCUUACUUUCAUGGUUACUUCAAAUUUUUUUUUAGUUUGUCAAGUGAACCAUGUGACAACCCUAGUUAGGAUUAGACCUAACUGAAAAUGAUCAUCUAUUGCCUAUGCUAUCAAU